AAGGAUCAUUAGAAUAAAUUGAUACACAUGUUUUUCUGUCAUAAACACAACAAUAUUAGUAACGUCAAUGUUUUUAAAGUUAAAACUUUCAACAACGGAUCUCUUGGUUCUCGCAUCGAUGAAGAACGCAGCGAAAUGCGAUAAGUAGUACGAAUUGCAGAUUUUCGUGAGUCAUUGAAUCUUUGAACGCACAUUGCGCCCUGCGGCAUUCCGCAGGGCAUGCCUGUUUGAGCGUCAUUUCACUCUCAAGCCGCUGGCUUGGUGAUGAGUUUGCUCGGCUUACUUGAAAGACAAGGCUGCAUUUGUAUAGGGACAACCAUUUCAGACGCAGACAGCAAGUUUGACCUCAAAUCAGGUAGGACUACCCGCUGAACUUAA
rnacentral:rRNA from 1 species